rnacentral:rRNA from 1 species
UACGGAGGGGACUAGCGUUGUUCGGAAUUACUGGGCGUAAAGCGCACGUAGGCGGAUUUGUUAGUCGGGGGUGAAAGCCCGAGGCUUAACCUCGGAACUGCCUUCGAUACUGCGGGUCUCGAGUCCGGGAGAGGUGAGUGGAAUUCCUAGUGUAGAGGUGAAAUUCGUAGAUAUUAGGAAGAACACCAGUGGCGAAGGCGGCUCACUGGCCCGGUACUGACGCUGAGGCGCGAAAGCGUGGGGAGCAAACAGG